AAACUUUCAACAACGGAUCUCUUGGUUCUGGCAUCGAUGAAGAACGCAGCGAAAUGCGAUAAGUAAUGUGAAUUGCAGAAUUCAGUGAAUCAUCGAAUCUUUGAACGCACAUUGCGCCCUGUGGUAUUCCGCAGGCAUUCCUGUUCGAGCGUCAUU
rnacentral:rRNA from 1 species